rnacentral:misc_RNA from 1 species
GAUGAAGAACGUAGCGAAAUGCGAUAAGUAAUGUGAAUUGCAGAAUUCAGUGAAUCAUCGAAUCUUUGAACGCACAUUGCGCCCGCCAGUAUUCUGGCGGGCAUGCCUGUUCGAGCGUCAUUUCAACCCUCAGGCCCCGCCUGGCGUUGGGGAUCGGCGCGGCCCUCUCCGGGCUGCCGGCCCCGAAAACUAGUGGCGGUCUCGCUGUAGUCCUCCUCUGCGCAGUAGCAACGCUCGCACAGGAACUCGGCGCGGCCACGCCGUAAAACACCCCACUUCUGAAAGUUGACCUCGGAUCAGGUAGGAAUACCCGCUGAACUUAAGCAUAUCAAUAAGCGGAGGA